rnacentral:rRNA from 1 species
UACGUAGGAUGCAAGCGUUGUCCGGAAUUACUGGGCGUAAAGCGCACGCAGGCGGUUCGCCAAGUUUGGAGUGACAGUUGUCGGCUCAACCGACAAAGGACUUCAAAAACUGGUGAACUUGAGGACGAGAGAGGAACAUGGAACUCCAGGUGUAGUAGUGAAAUGCGUAGAUAUCUGGAAGAACACCAAUGGCGAAGGCAAUGUUCUGGCUCGUUUCUGACGCUCAGGUGCGAAAGCCAGGGGAGCGAACGGG